rnacentral:rRNA from 1 species
GGGUAUUAAGAUUUCAUACCUCCCCAACCCAUGUGAACAUACCGUACGUUGCCUCGGCAGGUCGUGUCUACCCCGUAGCACCCUACCCUGUAAGACCCUACCCUGUAAGACUUACCCGGUAGGACCUACCCGGCAGACGCGGGUAAGCCUGCCGGCGGCCCACGAAAACUCUGUUUUAGCAUUGUACUUCUGAAUACUAUAACUAAAUCAGUUAAAACUUUCAACAACGGAUCUCUUGGUUCUGGCAUCGAUGAAGAACGCAGCGAAAUGCGAUAAGUAAUGUGAAUUGCAGAAUUCAGUGAAUCAUCGAAUCUUUGAACGCACAUUGCGCCCAUUAGUAUUCUAGUGGGCAUGCCUGUUCGAGCGUCAUUUCAACCCUUAAGCCUCUGUUGCUUAGUGUUGGGAGCCUACAGUAUUGUAGCUCCUCAAAGUUAGUGGCGGAGUCGGCUCACAGCUCUAGACGUAGUAAUUUUUUUCCUCGCCUGUGUGUUGUGCCGGUCCCCUGCCGUAAAAACCCCCUAAUUUUUCAAGGUUGACCUCGGAUCAGGUAGGAAUACCCGCUGAACUUAAGCAUAUCAAUAAGCCGGAGGAAAAAUCAUUAAAGAGUUCUAUAACUCCCAAACCCUGUGAAACAUACGUUAGUUGCUUGCCGGGUCUGUUUUACCGUACAACUACCUGUAAGACCUACCCUGUAAGACUUACCGGUAGGACUACCGGCAGACGCGGGUAAGCCUGCGGCGGCACGAAAACUCUGUUUUAGCAUUGUACUUCUGAAUACUAUAACUAAAUCAGUUAAAACUUUCAACAACGGAUCUCUUGGUUUCUGGCAUCCAUGAAGAACGCAGCAAAUGCGAAUAAGUAAUGUGAUUUGCAGAAAUUCAUGAUCAUCGAAUCUUUUGACGCACAUUGGCCAUUAUAUUCUGUGGGCAUGCCGGUUCCAGGAUCAUUUCGACCUUAGCUCUAUGUCGUAUAGGAUAGCGACGAGGCCUACGAUUGAUACACUCCACACACUCUAGUGGGCGGAUCGGCUCCAGACGCUCUCGGAGCAAGUUAUAUUUUUCCACCCACCGGAUGUAUGAUAGAGACAA